rnacentral:rRNA from 1 species
ACAUGGGGGCAAGACCUGAUCUAGCCAUGCCGCGUGUGUGAUGAAGGCCUUAGGGUGCGUAAAGACACUUUCGCCAGGGAUGAUAAUGACAGUACCUGGUAAAGAAACCCCGGCUAACUCCGUGCCAGCAGCCGCGGUAAUACGGAGGGGGUUAGCGUUGUUCGGAAUUACUGGGCGUAAAGCGUACGUAGGCGGAUCAGAAAGGUAGGGGGUGAAAUCCCAGGGCUCAACCCUGGAACUGCCUCCUAAACUCCUGGUCUUGAG